AAGACUGUGUGUGACUGGCGAGGACGCGGAUUACCGUGAGGGAGCACAUUUGUUGGAAGCCGUUCGCCUGGGCAGAGGUA
rnacentral:ncRNA from 2 species